CAGAGGGUGCGAACGUUGCUCGGAAUUACUGGGCGUAAAGCGCAUGUAGGCGGGUCGGCAAGUCAGAUGUGAAAUCCCCGGGCUCAACCCGGGAACUGCAUCUGAAACUGCCGGUCUUGAGUACUGGAGAGGGUGGCGGAAUUCCUGGUGUAGAGGUGAAAUUCGUAGAUAUCAGGAGGAACACCGGUGGCGAAGGCGGCCACCUGGACAGUAACUGACGCUGAGAUGCGAAAGCGUGGGGAGCAAACAGGAUUAGAUACCCUGGUAGUCCACGCCGUAAACGAUGGGUGCUAGGUGUCUCGGGUAUUGACCCCUGAGGUGCCGUAGCUAACGCGUUAAGCACCCCGCCUGGGAAGUACGGUCGCAAGACUA
rnacentral:rRNA from 1 species